AAUAACCAGAAGCCCUCGGAGCUCUAGCACGCAGGCGCAGUCAGCGGCCGCUCGGAGAUCUAAUACUCGGGCCUGAAUCGCCUUGGCCGAAGCCAUGGGAUCGCAGCUGAGCGGCUGCAGUGACGGCGACCGCGGAGGCCCGCCCGACCCGGCCCCGGAGACGCCCGAGCCCGCUGCUCCUGAGGCCGGCGACACGGCUCCCCGGCCGUGCCCGGACCCCGCCGAUUGGGGGCUCCUCGACGACGUUCGCUUCCUCAUCGUUUGCACCCCCUGGUACUAGCGGGAUUCCCGAGCAGCGUCGGGAGCCGAGGGCCAGGACCCCGCCUGCCACUGGCUGCGGAGAAUGUCGCUGCGACCCCACGCCCCCCUCCGCCUGCCGUGGCCACCCUGCGCCACCCCACCGCGACCCCCGCCGGACAGCCUCCGUUUCGUUUCCCCACUUUGUCUGCCCCUCAUUACAUCGUGAUCUUGGCCGGGGGGGGGGGGGGGCGGAAGGUCACCUUGCCACCACUUCCCUCUGUUCUCCUGCCCCCUGCCCCGGGCCCAACAUCCUUAUUAUCUCCUGCCUGCCGGCACAUUUACUCUUUAACUCCUAGAGCCCUUUUGUCUCUGGAAAUUCUUUUAGUCUUGGGGUGGCCAGCCGCCUCUCUUUCCAGACCCCCCCGCCCAACAAAGGUGCAGAGGUCCUGUACCUCUUCCCUGAGACCCGCUUCAGCCUGAUUAUUGCUUUCUACUUAGUAUGAAGCCCCCACUGCCCAUCUCCCUCGGCCCCACCCACUCUUCUUUCUCCUUCUCUCUGGAGGGCGUAGAAACAACUCUCCAGGUCAUCACAGAUGGCCGUGGACUGGAGCCCCUGGAAGCUACCGUUUACAGUCUUCUUUCCUCUCCAUCCCAUUUACCGUGGGAUCCUAGGUUUCUCGUCCUCAAACACUCAAAUAUCCCCAGGUCUCCAAAAGCACUGCUCCCAAUCUCCAGACCCUUCAGUUUCUUCCCAUCUGCAUUCAUCUCCCAAGGAUAUCGUACCACUUGUCCCUCCUUCGCCCUCCUCUCCAGAGAAAUGACAAUCUAUAUAUUUUCAUUUUAUUUAGAAAUGGUUUAAAAAACAUUAUACAAAGGCUGAUCAGUUUUAAAAUGUGACGGACACUGAAAUGCUGCGAUGCCGUCCAGGGUGAUGGGAGCCCAGACUCUAAGGGCACCAGUAUGGAGGCCUCAGCCUUGGCCAGGUCGGGGAAGACACACAGACUAUGGUGGAGGUGUGGGGGAUGGAGGGUGGGCAAGUGGGUCAGGAAAGGGGCCAACUCAAACUCUGCCCCCAACUCCAGUGAGGCCUGCCCCUUCCUCUGCCCCCAGUGCCUCUUCCUCUGUUCCCUUCCUCAGCUAUACCCCAGUAUCUUCAGGGCUCAGGAGGAUCCCAGAGGGGA